rnacentral:rRNA from 1 species
CAGCCGCCGCGGUAACACGUAGGUGGCAAGCGUUGUCCGGAAUUAUUGGGCGUAAAGAGCUCGCAGGCGGUUUCUUAAGUCUGAUGUGAAAGCCCCCGGCUCAACCGGGGAGGGUCAUUGGAAACUGGGAAACUUGAGUGCAGAAGAGGAGAGUGGAAUUCCACGUGUAGCGGUGAAAUGCGUAGAGAUGUGGAGGAACACCAGUGGCGAAGGCGACUCUCUGGUCUGUAACUGACGCUGAGGAGCGAAAGCGUGGGGAGCGAACAGGAUUAGAUACCCCAGUAGUCCCUGUCUCUUAUAC